AUUGAACGCUGGCGGCAUGCCUUACACAUGCAAGUCGAACGGUAACAGGUCUUCGGAUGCUGACGAGUGGCGAACGGGUGAGUAAUACAUCGGAACGUGCCUAGUAGCGGGGGAUAACUACUCGAAAGAGUGGCUAAUACCGCAUGAGAUCUACGGAUGAAAGCAGGGGAUCGCAAGACCUUGUGCUACUAGAGCGGCCGAUGGCAGAUUAGGUAGUUGGUGGGAUAAAAGCUUACCAAGCCGACGAUCUGUAGCUGGUCUGAGAGGACGAUCAGCCACACUGGGACUGAGACACGGCCCAGACUCCUACGGGAGGCAGCAGUGGGGAAUUUUGGACAAUGGGCGAAAGCCUGAUCCAGCAAUGCCGCGUGCAGGAUGAAGGCCUUCGGGUUGUAAACUGCUUUUGUACGGAACGAAAAGCCCUGGGUUAAUACCCUGGGGUCAUGACGGUACCGUAAGAAUAAGCACCGGCUAACUACGUGCCAGCCGCCGCGGUAAGAC
rnacentral:rRNA from 1 species